rnacentral:rRNA from 1 species
CGGACGGGUGAGUAACGCGUGGAAAACCUGCCGUAUACUGGGGGAUAACACUUAGAAAUAGGUGCUAAUACCGCACAAGCGCACAGCUUCGCAUGAAGCGGUGUGAAAAACUCUGGUGGUAUACGAUGGUUCCGCGUCUGAUUAGCUAGUUGGUGGGGUAAUGGCCUACCAAGGCAACGAUCAGUAGCCGGCCUGAGAGGGUGAACGGCCACAUUGGGACUGAGACACGGCCCAAACUCCUACGGGAGGCAGCAG